rnacentral:lncRNA from 1 species
GGAGAACUCAGGACUGGGUGUCCAUCAGAAUAUUUUGCCGUGCACAGCGAGAGCGUUUUCUCCAUUCUGAGAGAACCUGAAGACCUAGGCUUCCCAAGGCGACCUGCGUGGAGGACUCAUCUCCUCGCCUUUUCAUAACCUCGCAUCUAACCAGGCGCCUGCAUUCACCAGUCCUCGCAGUUCAGAGGAGGUAAUAUUCAACCUGCCCUUUGAAGAACAGGUGGAAUUUGACGGAGAAGGAAACAGCAGGACAAGCACCCUCAGGAAGGAGCAGCUGCUGGUCAUGGAGCCAUGAACACAUUGAGCAGUCGGGAAAAGUGUGGUGGUUCUCAAUGUGUGUUCCUGCAACAGCAGCAUCACCUGGGAAUUUUUAGACAUGCUAAUUCUUGGACGCCACCCUAA